CGAAUGCUGACAUAAGUAACGAUAAAGCGGGUGAAAAGCCCGCUCGCCGGAAGACCAAGGGUUCCUGUCCAACGUUAAUCGGGGCAGGGUGAGUCGACCCCUAAGGCGAGGCCGAAAGGCGUAGUCGAUGGGAAACAGGUUAAUAUUCCUGUACUUGGUGUUACUGCGAAGGGGGGACGGAGAAGGCUAUGUUGGCCGGGCGACGGUUGUCCCGGUUUAAGCGUGUAGGCUGGUUUUCCAGGCAAAUCCGGAAAAUCAAGGCUGAGGCGUGAUGACGAGGCACUACGGUGCUGAAGCAACAAAUGCCCUGCUUCCAGGAAAAGCCUCUAAGCAUCAGGUAACAUCAAAUCGUACCCCAAACCGACACAGGUGGUCAGGUAGAGAAUACCAAGGCGCUUGAGAGAACUCGGGUGAAGGAACUAGGCAAAAUGGUGCCGUAAC
rnacentral:rRNA from 1 species